rnacentral:lncRNA from 1 species
CACAUUGAGCUCAGUAGAUUAUUUUAAAAGAGAGAAACUAGAAGUUAGGGCAGGGGAUGAGAGUGGAUCAGUAUACACUGUAUAUAAUUCUCAAAAGAACUCAUGAAAGUACAAGCAAAGGAUCUGUUCUUAGAGCUAAAGUGUGUCUUAGAAGCAUUACGGCAUGAAACCAUGUGACUUACCCACUCUCUCCAGGCCCUUGAGGAGGUGGGUGAUUCAAGGCCAAGGCAUGUAGCUGCCGGUUGCUCUCCCAGAAGACCCUCCAGGGAACAAUGGCCACUCCUGUUUGACAAUGAUCAAGGCUGGGGCAUUUAUGAGCCUGUGUUCCGGGUUGUAUACAAACUCUUAAAGUCUCCCAUUCUUUCAGCAAGUCCUGCAAGGAGAUUCUGUCCCUGGAGUAUGGCGCAAGAGAUGGGUAAAGCAAAGCCCCAGGAAGCUCUGUCUUCCAGAAUCCAGUGCACCUCCUCAUUGGAGCCAAAGACCCACAAGUAUAAAUAAGAAGAAGUAAAAGCUAUGUUUCAGUUCCAUCAUGAGAAGAAACACAGACUGAGUUCAGCCUUGAGUUGCAGCAAGUCUGCAAAGAAGGCAAGGAGAGGCUGGCGGAAGCAAACCCACCACGUUCACUGUGUGGCUGACCGCGCUCACUGUGCAAUACACAGGUGCAACCAGAGGCAUUUCCUGCAUGGAUGUCAGGGCUUUAAUCAAACUUUAUUUGUAACACAUGCACAACUUGUCUUCCGAGAUGGGCAUAAAAGGGUCCAGGAGCAGAAGUCUCUGGGUAACUGUGACUUGGGAAAUAACAAAAGGAAGGAAAUCAUAAUACACAACAGAAAAAGAAAGAAAAUCAAAAGAAAAAAUGAAAAGGAAAGGAAAAUACUUUGAAGGCGCUUUUUCCAUAGGAAAAAAAUAUUUUAUUUUUUUUAAGAACAAAUUCAUUUUGAAACAGACGUGGAAUGUGGCUGCUCGGAUCUCAUUUCUGGGGCUUAACUGUCAUGUGGAACUAAAGCAGAUUAAAAAAAAAACCUAUGACAGGCUAUUAAAAUAAAACAAAGAAAAAAUAUUUAUAAC